rnacentral:rRNA from 1 species
UACGGGGGGAGCAAGCGUUGUUCGGAUUUACUGGGCGUAAAGGGCGCGUAGGCGGCCACCGCAAGUCGACUGUGAAAUCUCCGGGCUUAACCCGGAAAGGUCAGCCGAUACUGCGGGGCUAGAGUGCAGAAGGGGCAACUGGAAUUCUCGGUGUAGCGGUGAAAUGCGUAGAUAUCGGGAGGAAUACCGGUGGCGAAAGCGACUCUCUGGACGGCAACUGACGCUGAGGCACGAAAGCGUGGGGAGCAAACAGG